GCUCAGGAUGAACGCUGGCGGCGUGCUUAACACAUGCAAGUCGAACGGGAAAUACUUCAUUGAGACUUCGGUGGAUUUGAUUUAUUUCUAGUGGCGGACGGGUGAGUAACGCGUGGGUAACCUGCCUUAUACAGGGGGAUAACAGUCAGAAAUGGAUGCUAAUACCGCAUAAGCGCACAGAGCUGCAUGGCUCGGUGUGAAAAACUCCGGUGGUAUAAGAUGGACCCGCGUUGGAUUAGCUUGUUGGUGGGGUAACGGCCCACCAAGGCGACGAUCCAUAGCCGGCCUGAGAGGGUGAACGGCCACAUUGGGACUGAGACACGGCCCAGACUCCUACGGGAGGCAGCAGUA
rnacentral:rRNA from 1 species